rnacentral:rRNA from 1 species
UACGUAGGGGGCUAGCGUUAUCCGGAAUUACUGGGCGUAAAGGGUGCGUAGGUGGUUUCUUAAGUCAGAGGUGAAAGGCUACGGCUCAACCGUAGUAAGCCUUUGAAACUGGGGAACUUGAGUGCAGGAGAGGAGAGUGGAAUUCCUAGUGUAGCGGUGAAAUGCGUAGAUAUUAGGAGGAACACUAGUUGCGAAGGCGGCUCUCUGGACUGUAACUGACACUGAGGCACGAAAGCGUGGGGAGCAAACAGG